CAAGAAGUGAUGCUUGUGCAGGUUAUUGCUCUAUUGCCGCGCUGUUCCAAAUCCGCCCUUUUUGACUGCACUGUGAGAAUGGAUCUGGGCCCUUUUAAGCAUCUUGUGUUCUCUUCUGGCAUCCAUGAAACAGUGACAGGCCCCAGACCCUUCACAGAUCCUGAAACUACUCGUCUGCCUAAGAGAAUCACGACACUGUUGGCAUAAUCUUCAUCUCCCUAUGCUUUCCCUUCCAUGAAGCUGAGAAAGAGGAUGAGUCAAGUAACAUAAUAAACUUCUGAGCAGGU